rnacentral:rRNA from 1 species
AUUGAACGCUGGCGGCAGGCUUAACACAUGCAAGUCGAACGAGUGGCGGACGGGUGAGUAAUGCUUGGGCAUCUGGCUUAUGGAGGGGGAUAACGACGGGAAACUGUCGCUAAUACCGCGUACCAUAGGAUGAGCCCAAGUGGGAUUAGGUAGUUGGGGGGGUAAUGGCCUACCAAGCCGACGAUCGCUGGCUGGUCUGAGAGGAUGACCGGCCAACCGGGAACGGAGCAAGGGCCCGGACUCCUACGGGAGGCAGAAGUGGGAAAUAUUGGGCAUGGGGGGAAACCUGACGCAGAAAGGCCGCGGGAAUGAGGAAGGCCUUCGGUUUGUAAAGUUCUUUAGGCGACGAGGCGUUAAUCACAGAAGAAGCAACGGCUAACUCCGUGCCAGCAGCCGCGGUAAUAC